AAGCGGCAACAGCUCAAAUUUGAAAUCUGGCGCAAGCCCGAGUUGUAAUUUGUAGAGGAUGCUUCUAGGCAGCGGCCGUUCUAAGUUCCUUGGAACAGGACGUCAUAGAGGGUGAGAAUCCCGUAUGUGACCGGCACGCACCUUUUACGUAGCUCCUUCGACGAGUCGAGUUGUUUGGGAAUGCAGCUCUAAAUGGGAGGUAAAUUUCUUCUAAAGCUAAAUACCGGCUGGAGACCGAUAGCGCACAAGUAGAGUGAUCGAAAGAUGAAAAGCACUUUGGAAAGAGAGUUAAAAAGCACGUGAAAUUGUUGAAAGGGAAGCGCCUGCAACCAGACUUCGUGGCAGUGUUCCGCCGGUCUUCUGACCGGUCUAUUCUCUGUCGCGAGGCCAUCAUCGUCUGGGGCCGCCGGAUAAGACUGGAGGAAUGUAGCUCCCCUCGGGGAGUGUUAUAGCUUCCAGUGAUGCGGCGUGUCUCGGGCGAGGUCCGCGCUUCGGCAAGGAUGAUGGCGUAAUGGUUGUCGGCGGCCCGUCUUGAAACACGGACCAAGGAGUCUAACAUCUAUGCGAGUGUUCGGGUGUCAAACCCCUACGCGUAAUGAAAGUGAACGGAGGUGGGAACUUUUUGUGCACCAUCGACCGAUCCUGAUGUCCUCGGAUGGAUUUGAGUAAGAGCAUAGCUGUUGGGACCCGAAAGAUGGUGAACUAUGCCUGAAUAGGGUGAAGCCAGAGGAAACUCUGGUGGA
rnacentral:rRNA from 1 species